UACACAAAGGACCUACCCAGCAUUCACUUCCGGUAGCGACCGCGAAAUUUGAAUGAGUACGUAAAGAGUUAACUCGAUGGCUAGUUUUAUCAGCAGAAUAAAAUUCAGCUUCCUUAUGUGUUGUAAAAUGAUGAUCCUUUCAGGCUAGAGUUUCAGACAUUGGUCAAUGACCAUUGGAUGAGGUUUAUACCAUUCUGAUCAACACAUUAAAUAAUUCUGUCCAGUUUAUGGCCAUAAUCAGGGUGAUGUUAUAAAGUUCACAUCAUCUAUCAAUAUUAAUAUCAGUAUAGCAUAGGAGUACUUACAUUGACUAAAAUACGAUAUACAGAAGAUUUAAGCUUGGCAUAAUAUUUCACUUGGAUUGCUAAAUCAGGCAAAUGGGUCUUUUUGUCUCGUAAUGUGUUGUAAAAUGAUGAUCCUUUCAGGCUAGAGUUUCAGACAUUGGUCAGCAAUGACCAUUGGAUGAGGUUUAUACCAUUCUGAUCAACACAUUAAAUAAUUCUGUCCAGUUUAUGGCCAUAAUCAGGGUGAUGGUGUUUUAAAGUUCACAUCAACUAUCAAUAUUAAUAUCAGUAUAGCAUAGGAGUACUUUCAUUGACUAAAAUACGAUAUACAAAAGAUUUAAAUACGAUAUACAAAAGAUUUAAGCUUGGCAUAAUAUUUCUCUUGGAUUACUUUAUCAAGCAAAUGGGUCUUUUUGUCACGUAAUGUGUUGUAUAAUGAUGAUCCUUUCAGGCUAGAGUUUCAGACAUUGGUCAGCAGUGACCAUUGGAUGAGGUUUAUACCAUUCUGAUCAACACAUUUAAUCAUUCUGUCCAGUUUAUAACCAUAAUCAGGGUGAUGUUGUUUAAAAGUUCACAUUAUCUAUCAGUAUGAAUAUCCUUAUAUCAUAGGAGUACUUUCAUUGUCUAUAAACACUACUAUAUAUAGUGAAAGAUAUAUAUAGAAAGAUUUAAGCUGAGCAUAAUAUUCCUCUUGAAUUACUUAAUCAAGCAAAUGGGUCUUUUUGUCUUGCAAUGUGUUGUAAAAUGAUGAUCCUUUCAGGCUAGAGUUUCAGACAUUGGUCAGCAAUGACCAUUGGAUGAGGUUUAUACCACUCUGAUCAACACAUUUAAUCAUUCUGUCCAGUUUAUAACCAUAAUCAGGGUGAUGUUGUUUAAAGUUCACAUUAUCUAUCAGUAUGAAUAUCCUUAUAGCAUAGGAGUACUUUCAUAGACUAUAAAAACACUUUAUAUAUAGUGAAAGAUAUAUAUAGAAAGAUUUAAGCUUUGCAUAAUAUUCCUAAUUACUAAUUCAAGCAAAUGGGUCUUUUUGUCACGUAAUGUGUUGGAUAUGAUGAUCCUUUCAGGCUAGAGUUUCAGACAUUGGUCAGCAGUGACCAAUGAAUGAGGCAGAUACGACUCUGAUCAACACAUUAAAUAAUUCUGUCCAGUUUAUGGCUAUAAUCAGGGUGAUGGUGUUUUAAAGUUCACAUCAACUAUCAAUAUUAAUAUCAGUAUAGCAUAGGAGUACUUUCAUUGACUAAAAUAAAACAAUCUACAAAAGAUUUAAGCUUGGCAUAAUAUCUCUCUUAAAUUACUAAAUCAAGCAAAUGGGUCUUUUUGUCUCGUAAUGUGUUUUAAAAUGAUGAUCCUUUCAGGCUAGAGUUUCAGACAUUGGUCAGUGACCAUUGGAUGAGGUUUAUACCACUCUGAUCAA